rfam:Actinobacteria bacterium 66_15 MPI_scaffold_6987, whole genome shotgun sequence.
UGUGUUUUUCGCCAAGGAGCUCGACCAGCCCCGCCCGCGGUGAGCGCGUUCAUCGAUGAGAAUCGCGCACGUUUCGGGGUCGAGCCGAUCUG